CUCGAAGGAAGGAGUGGAUGGCAAGAAAUACAGAGAAAGCAAUGCAUAGCACAGCAAGCAAAGCAAGGCAAAAUAGCAGCCAAAGCCACGAGAAUCAAGAAGUCAGUGAAGAGCAGGAAAGGAAUGGAGGAAUCUGGCCAGAGCUGUGCCCCUGCUUGCCACAGGAGCUGCGCGGGAGGAGAAGAACGUGGGCCAAAAGGUAAGAGGAGCUCCUUUGGGUUCUGGGCUUGAAGCAAAGCUGAGAAGCCAUGCCCGGGAGGAGGUGUGGGUAGCUACAGGCCACCUUGCUAUCUCCCCAAGAGAUGAGGUGUGUGGGCUAGGCACCGGGCAGGAGUGCUGGCCAGAAGCAAGCAUCUCUGUGGAGGAAGGCAAAGGGCGGAGGAGGUUCAAGGGUAGCUACCGGGCAUGGCCUUGCUCAGCAAGGGGAGGAAAAGCCUGAAGGGCACGAGAAGGGGAUAGAGAAGGGCAGGCAGUAGGCGUGAAGCUGCGAGCAGAGUAGAGAGCAACUUGGCAGAGCAGCAAGCAGAGUAGGCAAGUGUGAGGUUUGGCGUGAGUAGCAGCAAAAGCCCAGAGCAUCAAGAAGCAGGAAGUGAGGAGAAGGUAAGUGAAGGGCAGGCAAGGUAAUGGGAGGCAAAGGCAAGGGGAAAGGGGGGGUAAGGGAGAAAGAGGGAUGGGGAGGGGAGGGGAUGGGUGAAGAGCAGAGCGGAGGGAAGGGCUGAGGGGAGGGCUGAAGGCAAACCUAUGAUGAAAAAAGAAAAGAAAAAAUAAGAACAAAAAAUAUGAAAAAGAGAAAAAAGAAAAGAAAAAUAAGAAAAAGAGAAAAAAUGAAAAGAAAAAAAGAAAAAAAUGAACAAAAAAGAGAAAAAGAGAAAAAAUGAAAAAAAAGAGAAAAAAGAGAAAAGAAAAAAAAAUGAACAAAAAAGAGUAAAAAGAGAAAGAAAUGAAAAAAAGAGAAAAAAGAGAAAAGAAAAAAACAUGAACAAAAAAGAGAAAAAGAGAAAAGAUAAAAAAAGAAAAAGAUAAAGAAAAGAAAAGAAAAAAGAAAAUAGAAAUAAAAAAGAGGACAGAAAAAUAUGAAAAAAAAGAAAAAAAGAAAAGAAAAAAACAGUAGAUGAAAAAAGAAAAAACAAAGGAAAAACGAAUAAUGACAAGAGAAGAAAGGUAAAGAGAAAAGA
rnacentral:lncRNA from 7 species